CUGUUAAAACAUUCUUUCUUGGUGUGUCUGUGAGGAUAUGUCUCCAGAAGAGAUUAGCAUUUGCAUCUGAAUUGGUAGACUGAGCAAAGGUCACCCUCCCCAAGGUGGGUGAGCGUCACCCAAGCCAUUGAGGACCCAAAUAGAGCAAAGAGACAGAGGAAGGGCAAAUUCAGCUGCUCUCUUCUUGAUCUGGGACUUCUGUCUUCUCCUGCCCUCACUUAUCAGUUAUCAGAGGUCCAGUUUCCUGAGCCUUUGGACCUGGACUGAAUGACGUCCCUGGUUUCCUGGGUCUCCAGCUCACAGGUGGCAGACUGUGGGACUUAGCCUCCGUAACUAUAUGAGGCAGUCCCCAUAAUAAAUCUUCUCUUAUCUCUCUCUCUCUCUCUCUUUAUAUCCUAUUGGCUCUGUUUCUCUGGAGAACCCUGACUAAUAUACCCUGUUUUGCAGGUAAUGGAAUUGAGACAAGGUGUGUUACGCAGUGCCUCAAUAUGUUCCUAUGUAAAAUGGAGACGUUAUUGAGACUUUAUUGCCUUGUGAGAAUUACAGGCAAUAACACAAAGAUACUGAGAACAAUUACCAGCACAUAGCAUGAUAUCAACACAUCUCAGCCAAUGACUUUCUAGCGUACUAUGACAUGGCUGGGGUCUAUCAGUGAGCAGAGGCCUGGCACACGUGUGGAGCUUCUCUGUACGUCCAUCCAUUCCACAGAGUGAACAAGAUGGCAGUUCUGGGAUUCCAGAAAACAUGUACGCGGGCCUCUCAUUGUUGUGGCCUCUCCCAUUGCAGAGCACAGGCUCCGGAUGCGCAGGCUCAGCGGCCAUGGCUCACGGGCCCAGCUGCUCCGCGGCAUGUGGGAUCUUCCCGGACCGGGAAACGAACCCGCGUCCCCUGCAUCGGCAGGCGGACUCUCAACCACUGCGCCACCAGGGAAGCCCUUUUUUUUUUUUUUUAAAUCCUAUUGUGCGACUCUA